rnacentral:rRNA from 1 species
UACGUAGGGUGCGAGCGUUGUCCGGAAUUAUUGGGCGUAAAGAGCUCGUAGGCGGCCUGUCACGUCGGAUGUGAAAGCCCGGGGCUUAACUCCGGGUCUGCAUUCGAUACGGGCUGGCUAGAGUGUGGUAGGGGAGAUCGGAAUUCCUGGUGUAGCGGUGAAAUGCGCAGAUAUCAGGAGGAACACCGGUGGCGAAGGCGGAUCUCUGGGCCAUUACUGACGCUGAGGAGCGAAAGCGUGGGGAGCGAACAGG